AUCCCAGAUAAGCUUGAUUUUGGUGCUUAUCUGAUUCAUGGGAGGCCAAUACCAACCACCGGCAGUUUCGCUGAUAGCGCAUUCUCUAUCUUUCGUGAAGGCGUUUCAUUAGUAACUCGCCGUACAUGA
rfam:Musa acuminata subsp. malaccensis Doubled-haploid Pahang (DH-Pahang) genomic chromosome, chr4